AUUGUUCUGUAGUUCAUAAGCACGAUGAUUGAGUUUUCAUGCUCAUGUGUGAGACGUGAUUCACUCCAAUCUUGUUAUAGUGUUAGCACAUUACCUAUCUGAUA
rnacentral:snoRNA from 2 species